GACCGCAUCAGUUCCCAAGUGUGCAGUAGGGAGCAUAUGUCUUUGAAGAAGCCGGAAUGUUGUUUUGUCUUGUUUGUCUUUUUUUGCCUUUUCUAGGGCCCCUCCCGCGGCAUAUGGAGAUGAGGUUCCCAGGCUAGGGGUCUGAUCGGAGCUGUAGCCACCGGCCUACGCCAGAGCCACAGCAACGUGGGAUCCGAGCCUCGUCUGCCACCUACACCACAGCUCAGGGCAGCGCCGGAUACUUCACCCACUGAGCAAGGCCAGGGAUCGAACCCGCAACCUCAUGGUUCUUGGUCCGAUUCGUUAACCACUGUGCCCGAUGGGCCAAAGAAGCCUGAAUGUUUGUUUGUACGAGGACUUGGGAGAUCUUCCAUGAAAAGCUGGCGCCUUUUCCAAAGGGGUCUUCGCCGUGUUCUUUUGGGGAAACGGACUCAACGCUGCCUUCUGUCUGCGUGCCUGCGGUCCCCAACGGCAGGAAGACCUGUGGCCGCAGUGCAGAGGAUGCUGUGACACUCACCGUGUUUUCUCUUGUCUCAUCACAGGUGGACGGGGCGGACGAUGAAAUCUCUUGGAGCUUGGAGAGUGUGUGUGAGAGCGACCUCGCUGACAGCAACCUCGCAGAAAGUGAUCGAGACUCGGUGGCGGAGCGCACCGACUGCCGCCAGGAUGAGGAGGCUGCAGACUGUUGCUUUGGGAGCAAAGGAUCGUGCUUCAAAAGUCUGAGGACAAGUUUGUCCUCUGCGAGCUUGGCUAGAAUAAUUCCCCGGUGGCCACACAACAGGGUGCACCUUGCCACUGAGCCAGAUGAAGGAACUCACGACGACGAUGUUGUGGAGGCCGGUGGGAGUGAGAAGACUGAGGCAAAGCCCCGGGCUGGGGGACAUGAGGACGAGGCGGCCCCAGUACCUGAGGUGGAGGUGGAGGAGGAGGCGGGCCAGCCCCGUGAAAAUGGCCAGGAGGAGUCCUUAGCCAUCGCCUGGGCUGAGCCGGAAGACGAGCCUGGCCCCAAGGUGGACGGGGCGGACGAUGAAAUCUCUUGGAGCUUGGAGAGUGUGUGUGAGAGCGACCUCGCUGACAGCAACCUCGCAGAAAGUGAUCGAGACUCGGUGGCGGAGCGCACCGACUGCCGCCAGGAUGAGGAGGCUGCAGGUAGGGAAGAGCACGCAGCUGGGAUCCAGGGGGAGAGGGUUCCUGGGAGCAGCUGGGUUCCACCUGCUGCCGGGAGAGGGCGGAAGGGGGCUAGGACUUGGGUGGGUGGCCUACUGAGCGGAACUCCGCUGUGGUGUUUUCCCCUCUGAAGUUGCUAAGCCGAAGACGACUUGGGUCCCUGGUCUUUGUUGUGCUGU
rnacentral:lncRNA from 9 species